rnacentral:rRNA from 1 species
AGUGAACGCUGGCGGUAGGCCUAACACAUGCAAGUCGAACGGCAGCACAGUAAGAGCUUGCUCUUACGGGUGGCGAGUGGCGGACGGGUGAGGAAUACAUCGGAAUCUACUUUUUCGUGGGGGAUAACGUAGGGAAACUUACGCUAAUACCGCAUACGACCUACGGGUGAAAGCAUGGGAUCUUCGGACCUUGCGCGAUUGAAUGAGCCGCUGUCGGAUUAGCUAGUUGGCGGGGUAAAGGCCCACCAAGGCGACGAUCCGUAGCUGGUGUGAGAGGAUGAUCAGCCACACUGGAACUGAGACACGGUCCAGACUCCUACGGGAGGCAGCAGUGGGGAAUAUUGGACAAUGGGCGCAAGCCUGAUCCAGCCAUACCGCGUGGGUGAAGAAGGCCUUCGGGUUGUAAAGCCCUUUUGUUGGGAAAGAAAAGCAGCAGGUUAAUACCCCGCUGUUCUGACGGUACCCAAAGAAUAAGCACCGGCUAACUUCGUG